AUUGUAAAAUGCAUGAUUUGAUGUAUGAUCUAGCUAAGCUAGUAGCAAGAGAGGAAAAUAUUUUACUAAUUUCAGAGGCAGAGCGUGUUCAAGAAGGAAUUCGACACUUGUCUAUUGAUUUUCAAAUUGAGUCAUGGGAGAAAGUUGCAAAUUGCUUACCUGAUAUGACAAAGUUGCGAACAUUUAUGUCAUGGCCAAAAAAGCAAGAUAAAGAAGUAGAAUGCCAUGAAAUUUUUUCCAAAUUAAGUUGUACAAGGGUAUUGGUUUUGCGUGGUAUGGGGAUUGAGAGAGUACCACCUUCCAUUAGCAAAUUGAAACUUAUAAGGUUUCUCGAUCUUUCUUAUAAUAAAGGCAUUGAGAUCCUUCCUGAUUCCAUUAUUAAA
rnacentral:misc_RNA from 1 species